UAAUACGUAGGCAGCAAGCGUUGUUCGGAGUUACUGGGCGUAAAGAGUGCGUAGGCGGUCCUGUAAGUUUGGUGUGAAAUCUCCCGGCUCAACUGGGAGGGUGCGCCGAAGACUGCAGGGCUUGAGUAUGGGAGAGGUAAGCGGAAUUCCUGGUGUAGCGGUGAAAUGCGUAGAUAUCAGGAGGAACACCUGUGGUGUAGACAGCUUACUGGACCAUAACUGACGCUGAGGCACGAAAGCGUGGGUAGCAAACAGGAUUAGAUACCCUGGUAGUCCACGCCCUAAACGAUGCAUACUUGGUGUGAGCCAUUCAUUUGGUUCGUGCCGGAGCUAACGCGUUAAGUAUGCCGCCUGGGGAGUACGGUCGCAAGGCUG
rnacentral:rRNA from 1 species